GGCGACUCGUCCUGUUGGGUCUGAGGGGGUGGUGCCGUCGGAAAGGUCUUGCUUGGUCUCCUCUCUAGCGGGCGGAGAGUUCCAAUGGUCCAGAUUGCCUGGGCAUCCCUGACCCCUCCGGACCACUUCCCUAGAGGGCAUCCUGUGCCCGACUGCUGGGCUGGCAUUUGCAGAGUACAGAUCUAGGCUGUCUGGAUUAUACUACACAUGAAGAGCCUACUGUUUGCAAAAAUUGACUUUUCUUUCCCGCGGCCACGCUGCAAAGGAUGGAGCUCCAGCAGCGAAGCAGCAGUCACUGGUCUAGCUGAAGAGGAAGGAGCCAGGCUCCUGCUUCGUAACCGAGGCAUCUAGCAUCCAGCCAAAGAACUUUUUUGCCUCUGACUAAGGAGCCACUGGUUAUCGGAGCCGGCUCAAUUGAAUACCCAUUCGGAUGAAAGAGUGAAGUAUAAAAUAACAAGUCUUCUGAAGAGCGAUAUUGCUACAGGCUUGGACCAGGGAGUGACCUGCAGGUGGAACUCUGAAUAUGCUGCCUCUUCUAGAAGGCCUGCUCAGCGUGUCACCUCUUUAUGUCUUCUAAGGAGAGAAUCCAUUGGUAGAGGAGGGAGGGCUAUGUGAGCCGGGGUAAGACAAACUGUUACUAAUAGUCCACCUUGUGCCGGUUAUUCAUUAAGCCUCAGUGUAGCCGCAUAAGAUGCUCAGGCACAGCACGUGACCUAAAGUCUGGAUCUUCAAACACCAGCAUCACAUCCAGAGAGGCCAGAGGGUCCCAAGACAAAACAAGCCGGGGCCAAGACGCACUCAGAGCUCCUAUCUCACCCUCUUAGGGGUGUGCUCGGGGCACCAGAUGGGUUAUUAAAUGUUAUUCUCUUUCUCCCUUUUUGGUUAAGCAGAGGACUGCAGAGGAAAGCCUCUGAAUCAAAUGUUUGCUCCACACAGUUCAACUGAAAUGUAGGUUGUGAUGAGUGGACACGUGCUCCACAGCUAAGAGACCAACCGAGGGCAUCCUAUCCCACUCGUGGGUCUAAGGGGAGACUUACAGAAGGCAUACUUACUCUGAAGAUGGAAUGAUAGCUGAAGAGACAGAGUGAUGCCUAGGGCCUGUCAGACACCCAGUUUAGCCUAAUACAGAAAAGCACGGAGGUGAGAAACAACAGGGUGAAUCCAAGGAAAUUCAACAGGAGCAUGUGAGAGGCAGGAGCCAGGGAGAGUUAGACAUGGCCCGAAACAAGUUCUCCCCUCCACCCUGAGGAAUUCUGGUGCUUCAGCACUGGCUCCUGAAGAAUUGGGGAAACUUCCCAGAAGGUUGUCAGCCUCUCUCCGGCAGGAGCUUUACAGAGGUCUGUGGACACUUCAGAGCACCCACACGGGCCAGAGAAGUAACUGGUCACGAGGCUUCCCCCAGGGGGACUUCCUCACUCAAGCGACACAUUAAACUCUGAGUCAAUGAAUGCCAGAGGUUAGGGGUAAAGAUGACAGCACUUCACCUCAAGCUACCUCCUAGUUUUCAUAAAGUUUGGAAUUGAAGCUGACGAGAUGUAGACUCACCGUAAAGAGCUGGAAGCAGCAAGCAUAUCUGUGGCCCAUGAAAAGGGAGAGGGGGACCAGGAGGGCAUGGGCUGGAGAAGGACGAGGUUGUGUCCAGAGGAAUGGAGCAAUUAAACUUUAAACUAUUCUUUUCAUAA
rnacentral:lncRNA from 1 species